rnacentral:rRNA from 1 species
UACGGGGGGGGCAAGCGUUGUUCGGAAUUACUGGGCGUAAAGGCUCGUAGGCGGCCAACUAAGUCAGACGUGAAAUCCCUCGGCUUAACCGGGGAACUGCAUCUGAUACUGGAUGGCUUGAGUUCGGGAGAGGGAUGUGGAAUUCCAGGUGUAGCGGUGAAAUGCGUAGAUAUCUGGAGGAACACCGGUGGCGAAGGCGGCAUCCUGGACCGAUACUGACGCUGAGGAGCGAAAGCCAGGGAGCAAAGCGGG